CGCGUAGGCGGUUUGAUAAGUCGGAUGUGAAAUCCCCGGGCUCAACCUGGGAACUGCAUUCGAUACUGUCUGACUAGAGUAUGGUAGAGGGAAGUGGAAUUUCAGGUGUAGCGGUGAAAUGCGUAGAUAUCUGAAGGAACAUCAGUGGCGAAGGCGGCUUCCUGGACCAAUACUGACGCUGAGGUGCGAAAGCGUGGGGAGCAAACA
rnacentral:rRNA from 1 species